AUUGAACGCUGGCGGCAUGCCUUACACAUGCAAGUCGAACGGUAACAGGUCUUCGGAUGCUGACGAGUGGCGAACGGGUGAGUAAUACAUCGGAACGUGCCCGAGAGUGGGGGAUAACGAGGCGAAAGCUUUGCUAAUACCGCAUACGAUCUCAGGAUGAAAGCAGGGGACCGCAAGGCCUUGCGCUCACGGAGCGGCCGAUGGCAGAAUAGGUAGUUGGUGGGAUAAAAGCUUACCAAGCCGACGAUCUGUAGCCGGUCUGAGAGCACGACCAGCCACACUGGGACGGGGACACGGCCCAGACGCCUACGGGAGGCAGCAGUGGGGAAUUUUGGACAAUGGGCGCAAGCCUGAUCCAGCCAUGCCGCGUGCAGGAUGAAGGCCUUCGGGUUGUAAACUGCUUUUGUACGGAACGAAAAGACUCCUUCUAAUAAAGGGGGUCCAUGACGGUACCGUAAGAAUAAGCACCGGCUAACUACGUGCCAGCCGCCGCAGUAACAC
rnacentral:rRNA from 1 species